GGGGACUGUAUAGGGGGAUAGUUUUAGGAAGAAACUGUUCCACCUCAGAUCAUCAGGCAUUAGAUUCUCAUUGGGAGAGCACAACCUAGAUUCCUCGCAAGUGCAGUUCACAGUAGGGCUCCUGCUCCUAUGAGAAUCUAAUGCCGCUGCUGAUCCGACGGGAGGCGGAGCUCAAGCAGGAAUGCUGGCUCACUGGCUGCUCACCUCCUGCUGUGCUGCCGGGUUCCUAACAGGCCUCAGACUG